GAAACAGGCUGUCCUAUCGCUCCGAAGAAUAUCGGUGAGGAAAGUCCGAACAGCAAAGAGCAUCAUGCUACCUAACGGGUAGGAGAGAAGCAGGUGACCGCUUCUCUACAGCUAGUGCCACAGAAAAUGUACCGCCACGCCCUCGGCGUGGUAAGGGUGAAAUGGUGGAGUAAGAGCCCACCGUGCCGGUGGUGACAUCGGUAGCAGGGUAAACCUCAUGAGCUGAAAGAUCAAAUAAGCCUUGAGUUUUCGUCGGCUCGGCGGAAACCUUCGGGUUCUCAGGGUGGGUAGAUUGAUAGAGGUUCUGAGUAAUCAGAAUCCCAGAUAAAUGAUAGGAGUCCUGCAUUCGCGGGAAACAGAAUUCGGCUUACAGGCCUGUUUCUUUU
rnacentral:RNase_P_RNA from 3 species